UAUUAAUUGUCAUAGGUUUCCUUCCUAUAAUUAAGCAGAAACUAGCUCCUGAAAAGCAUUGCCAAAUAACUACAGCUGGAAAACUUCCCAUCUGACACUGACAGCCUGCCGGUUUCCAGCCUGUUGAGACAGCCCGGUAAAAAGGGCUCCCUGGCAGCAUCUCCGACCUGCCUGCGCACCGGGAGGAGCGCGCACUGGGGUGGAGCCUUGGGGAAGUUCCUGCCGUUUUGCAGUGGGGAGGAGCCUGGCCUCUCCAGUUCGCGGUGGUAAUCUGGUGAUUCGGUCUGUGAGCUUUAGGAAGUCACCAUGAAUCAGCCUUAUGUUUCCUGCCUCCAGACCCUAUUCUCCUGCCUCAUUGGGAUUCAUCAAAGACACAACAUGACCCAUGGAGAACAGAGAGGAGCAAGACAGGACAACUGCCCACCCAGGAGUGACACAGAGCCAGGGGAAACUCCCUCUCCUAGGGAAAUGGUGAGUAGAAAAUUCUAGGGACCCACACUUUUUCCUAGACCUUGGCAGCCCUGGGGCCAGGAGAUCCCCUAAUGAAUCUCUUCUACCAGGGCCUUCAGUCUGACAUGCCGAGCUAUAUGGAGUCUUCACAAAGCUGCUGCUCAGACAUUCCUGCAGAGUCAAGGGAGCCUUGGGUCCCUGGACAGCCAGGCAGUAGGGGCUGAAGCUCCAGCAAAGGAGGAAAUUAGCCUUUUUUACAUGCCCCCAGGAAAGAGGCUGAGUUCAGGGAGCUGAGCAGCUACAGCUUAGCUGCAGGAUAAGACUCACUGGUCUGGGAUUCCAGCUGCCUACCACCAGUGAUCUGAGGCCAACACCAGCUCUGUACCUUCUUGAGACGAAGCUCCCAAAGGGAGGGACGGGCUGCCAUGUUUUCUGUUUCCUGGCCUUUGCUGCUGGUGCCUUUGGGUUCUAAGGAGUCCAAGGUAACUGAAAGCAGCACAGUUAAAAAAAAAAAAAAAAAAAGGGAAUA